AACGCGAAGAACCUUACCAGGCCUUGACAUGCCCUCUAUGGGGAUCAGAAACGAUCCCCUUCACCUCGGGUGGGAGGAGCACAGGUGCUGCAUGGCUGUCGUCAGCUCGUGUCGUGAGAUGUUGGGUUAAGUCCCGCAACGAGCGCAACCCUCGUCCUAUGUUGCCAGCGGGUAAUGCCGGGGACUCAUAGGAGACUGCCGGGGUCAACUCGGAGGAAGGUGGGGAUGACGUCAAGUCCUCAUGCCCCUUAUGUCUUGGGCUGCAAACAUGCUACAAUGGCCGGUACAAGGGUUGCGAGACCGCAAGGUGGAGCGAAUCCCAAAAAGCCGGUCUCAGUUCGGAUUGGGGUCUGCAACUCGACCCCAUGAAGUCGGAGUCGCUAGUAAUCGCGAAUCAGCAACGUCGCGGUGAAUACGUUCCCGGGCCUUGUACACACCGCGUGUCU
rnacentral:rRNA from 1 species